rnacentral:tRNA from 1 species
GUCAGGAUGGCCGAGCGGUCCAAGGCGCUGCGUUCAGGUCGCAGUCCGGUCUUCCGGGCGUGGGUUCGAUCCCACUUCUGACA